AUAAAAGCGUAUGGCUUUGCUAUUAAAAGAUGACUUGUAAAAUGGUGGCCAUUUGCAGUGGUGCACCAGGCUUCCACUGCCCCGCAUUGUUCUGCCUCAUUGUCACGUGACCGUGGCGUCCAAUCCCGUCCCAGUCUUCAUUCAACUUAUUAGAGGUCCGUAGUUCACAGUGAAGUCAAGGAGUUACUUGAUUUCUGCGGAUUCCGCCUUUGUGUGCGUUUUACAGUGGGUGUGUACGCCCGGUUGCGGCGGAUUUUAGAUGCUUUGUGAUGUCGACAUUAGGGACACUGAGUUACUACGCUGAUACGCACAUUACGCACGAGACUGAUGAUCAUUUGGCAUCCAGAUAUUCCUCGGGAGCUGCUUUGCACCAGACGAGAGAGCUCGCGCUUCCCGAGUAUGGCGACCAGGAACAGUGCCCCUUUCAGACCAAAUCUGCCAUUUUCGGGGCACCGUGGAGUUCAGUUGCUGAUCCAGCGCUCCGCGCCUCCUCGAGCGCGUAUCAUCCCUACGCACACCAGCCAUGCCCGACGGGGGAAGGCGACGGAAUGGCUCUGCGCGCCUGGACCCUGGAACCGGUAUCUGCACCGCUGUCAUACUCGGGAUUGGCCACGAACGUGCAUCACGAGAUUAAACCGGAGCCUCUGUCGGGUGGCAACGGCUGCACCACUCUGGAACCACCGACGCUGGUCGCGGACAUCGACGAAGACAGUUGUAUAGCAGAGCAAGAGACGCAGCGCAACACCGCGUCCGGUUUUCCCCAGAGCAACGCCGAGAAAAGUGCCACUGCAGCUGACGAGAAGCCAGAUGUCGAGCCAAGAAUUCCGUGGUCGAGGCCCAGAGCUCAUGUUCUGGAGACUUCCGGGAGCUGGGGAACCCAAAGCUGCACGGUGACCUUUGACCCUAAUCCAUCACUCUGCAGGUCAGGCUAGCAGGCUGGCGUGACCGAGCCGUCAGGGCCGGACAGGGAGCCCCCCUCACACACUCACUCAUACACACACACACACACACACACACACAGGUACACAUGCACACACACACAAGCAAAUACACACAAACUCACACACAUACACACGCACGCGUACGCGCACACAAACUUCUGCUCUGAUCUUAACCCUUAUUCGAGUGCUACAGAGCCUCCUGAUGGUGCUACAGGUUCUCCUGACGGGUCUGGGAAGCAGAGUUGGCACCAGCAGGUCUCUCUUAGCCUUUUUCCACCGACAAAAACUGGUUCCGAACGUGGCACUUUGGUUCGGAGCUGGAACCAAAAAAGGGUGGGAGUGUCAUCGUCCCGUUCAGAGGGAGGAGGCUAAAAGCAGAGUUUUGCCUCCAUAGAAACAAAACUAGUCAACUAGCACUACGCUUCAUACACUCCAUAUAAACAAAACUAGCCCACUAGCACUACGCUUUAUACGCUGCAUACACUGCUCAUUUCUGUUGUGCCGUUUUUUACAGAACAGCUGUCAUAUAAUCCUCCUGUUUAUGGCUCUAAUUAACUUUUGUUUUGCAUGCAACACCUAUUGUUGAUGACGCAUCCUUGGUGCUGUUCUAAACUGGUGGAAAUGCGGCCUGGUUCACUAGACAGCACCAAGGUUCAAAACGUCAGAACGCGUUCUCUUUUGGUCGAAAAACAUCCUCAUAUGCUCAGCUGGGAUGUCCCACAGGCCUGUGAGUGUGAGUGUGAGUGAGUGUGAGUGUGUGUCUGUGUGUGUGGAGAGCUGUGGCCAGCUGUAUAGAGGCUCUGCGUGGGUGGUGGUAUUUGCAUGUGUUACUGCUUGUCAGAAGCUCCAACAGUGGGAAUCCUGCCUCUCUCUGGGGUUAGCUGAGACUCUCCUCUCCCCUCCGAUCCCCUUCUCACCUCUCCUUGGUCUGCUUUGGUAUGGUUCCACAGCAGAGAAGUGCGCAGCUAGUACAGAAAAUGGCUUUCUCAAAUAUAGCCUUGAGUCAGCUGGUGGCCUUUCUGGGGAAAGUAAUUCAAAACCAAAUAAAAUAUGCUUUCAAUUUGCUUUAAUAUUCAGUUUUAAAGGUCAGUUAUUUUAUGACUAAGCAUGAAGAAGUCAAGUGAAUCAGACGGGCUGCUGUGUCCAGAUCCUCCAGUGGAGACGGAAGAGAAGCGGAUCUGCAGACCGGCCGAGUUUUGUCCUUCCCUCUCGCAGCCUCGGCUUGCACAGACUCGAAAGAGUCCUGCGUUUACUGUUUGUUUUUGUGCCCUCCGUUCUGGUCAAACAACAGCAUUUGCUAAUAUGUGGUUAUGACUUGAAAUCGACGCCGUCGCCACACAAAGCAUUUGCAUCACCUUCCAAGCCCUACGCCGUCGACAGACGUGCACCUCCUCAAAACACGCUAAAGCGAACGUCACAACCUGGCAGCAAUAUGUAUGAUUCAGUUCAAUAUGCUCUAUGGUACGGAAACAACGCAGCAGUUCCCUUAGUGCGAGUGAGCUUGGGCAAUAUGUUUACGUGUGUGUGUGUGUGUGUGUGUGUAAGAGAGAGAGAGAGAGAGAGAGA